GUUUUUUUUUUUAUUAUUAAUUUUUAAAUAUUAUACGGUUCAUAAUUUACGCCAAUACUGUGAAACCAAUCUGAUGUGUUUUGUACAUUAUCACCAGUGUCAUUUAUUGUAUGUGUGUUGUGUGUAUGUGAUUACAAUAUGUACUUUAUUACUGUUUUACAAUUAACUUAUUUGCUCUCCGGUUUAUGUUCUAUCUGUUAUAUAUACAUAACCUAUGGGAAUAGAUAAUAAUAU
rnacentral:lncRNA from 1 species